CAUUGCUGCUUCUCUUUACCUUGCAGUCCAUUGGUCCGUGUACCCAAGGGUGUCAUGGCCUAUCUGUUGAUCUCUCUUUGGGCCGCUCUUUUCUAUUUGCUUUAUGAGAGCAAUGCAGAGCGGGCUUUUUUUGUUUGUUUUUGUUUUUACCCUUAAGGUAAGGUUCUCGUUACUAAAACCCGUGAAGCACCAAUUAGCUUUAUUAUACAGAAUUUCAGCUUAACACUAAUUAAGAAUAUAAAUAAAGAGAUAAAUAAAUAAACACACACACACACACACACACACACACACACACACACACACACACAUUAACAUUGUAUAAUCUGCGUUUUUUUCUCUAUAAUCAUUUAUUUCCAUAUCUAAAUCUCACCAUUGCUUUAUGGAUAAGAACACGUUUCUGUAUAUGUUUUAAUUUUCAGUCAUUCGUAUUUCAGAACAUUGAUAAAAAUCUAAUAAUUCACAAUAAAAAAAUGCAUUUACAAAUCCUAGAAUGACGCCUUUUUUCACUGGGAGAGAAAAGAAAUCGAAUCAUUUUGGCAAUCAGAAGUGUAAUUGUUAUAAUUGUAAAUAAGGCCCAUCAACUUUUGGUGUAGUGUGUGUGUGUGUGUGUGUGUGUGUGUGUGUGUGUGUGUGUACAAAUCGAGGUAACAAAGCAGGACUAAAGAGGCGGACAAACACAUGAAGUCUGGUCUCGCCCAAGCCGGAUGACGGGGCAGCCAGCGUCGCAUCGGAAGCAGACACGCUCCUCACACACUCCGUGACGGAAACAUAAUUUACAUCAACCUCAAGAAUGAUAUUUACAGAGGCGUCCAAGGUCCAACAGUAGCAAAAUAGCGCUUCACUUUAAACUAAGCAAGAUGAGAUCCAAUAGGACUCCGAAGAGAGGACGCGGAGCCCGAGGAUGAGUAGAACAGAGCUACCUACGUGUUAUGUACAGACUGGAAGACGUGAGUGGUUCGAGGCGCGGCAAGGCAUAUCACACUGGAAGACUCGGUUACGGAAGCAUCACGCCAUCACGGACAGGUGCGUGUAGUUCUUGCAGGUGAGCGGGCGGUGGUGCUCAGACAGAAAGAGGAAACCCUGGAAUGAGACCACAGAGGCGCUGAGGACGCGACCGCAAGGGGUUACAUACACUUCUUCGGCGUCUGGGACCUUCAAUUCUUCACACUUCGCUGCGAACAGUCAGGAGGGAAAAAUAACUUACACACGAGACGUCACCAAGGCAGACAUGGAGGGAAGGGAAGACUGACGCGGCCGUGACGGAACAGGAAACGUCGUGAAGUGGAUAUUGUUCGUCUGAAGGAAAAGUGCGGUAAGUCAUCAUUCACGGAGCUGAAGAUGGCGACGAUAUAGGCCACGGUAUACAUGAUGACGGUUUAGAGAGAGAGAGAGAGAGAGAGAGAGAGAGAGAGAGAGAGAGAGAGAGAGAGAGAGAGAGAGAGAGAGAGAGAGCGGCGUGC